GGAGGUAUAGCUCAGUGGUAGAGUGCUUGCCUGCCACACACGCGGUCCUGGGUUCAACACCCAGUACUGCCA